rnacentral:tRNA from 1 species
CGGCGUGUAGCGUAGUGGCUACGCACUAGUUUCGGGAACUAGACCAGGGAGGUUCGAUUCCUCUCACGCCGA